CAAAUAUUUUAACAAAAACAAAUGUAAGUCGAUUGACUCAGAGAGAUGGCCACUAUUUUGAUAUCUGGCAUGAGGCUUUUCAAUUCUAUAAAAUGCUCGGUAUUUAAAAAAAAUGUUAAAAUGAACAGAACAUAUUUUCUUCCCCAGUCAAUAUCUAUUUCAGUUUUUGCUGAGUUACUUCCAUCCAGGCCAUUCAGUAAAGCCUCCUUAUGCUGCCAGCUUGAGUAGGACAUCAGCUCCAGUAGAAGUGAGCAGCGAGUCAAGCUUGAAGGUCCCAAGCCCUUGCAAAAGCAGAGGGGGAGCAGAGCUGCAAGAAAGCCUUGGCAUAAGAUUAAGUACAUGAAGAAUGGCCAUGGGGUCAAGGAGCAGAAUGACUGCAUGAACAAGAUGGACAUCAUCACAGGAACUCUUGGUGGUAAAGCCACUGUUGCCAUGAAACUGAGCAACGAGCUGAUGACCGUGCACAACGUAUACAACCAGGCAAUCAACUACCCAGCAGUUGCACUUGGCAAUUAAUAGCUGAUUAUUGCACCCAGGACCCACCACACCACACUGCGGAUAUUUUGGACGAUUGUGUCGAGAAACUCAUCAACAUAUGGGGAAAGAAUGGCCUUGACCUGCACAAGAACCUCGUGCGAGUUCUGCCAGAAACCGCUGGAGUUCUUUUUGUGGGAUCCGGUCUUCAAGCUGUGCAACUGCAUAUAACCCUCCAUGCAGUGCACAGUU